rnacentral:rRNA from 1 species
CGCGAAGAACCUUACCCGGACUUGACAUGCAGGUGGUACUGAGGCGAAAGCCAAGGGACCCGCAAGGGAGGCAGCCGACCACGGUAGGGUCAGCGACUGGGUG